CCCACAAGGACGAUGACCCCACUCCUGGACCUGACACAGAAACGCUCUGGAAUUUCCCCAAUUGACAACCGCCAGGUGGCGGGAAUUUCCCCCAACCGAUCACGUCAUUCUCAAGCCCCUUAUCAGCCUCGUGGCCACAUUUAGCUCUUUUGUCCCGAAGAAGGCGGAGCUUCCGCCGUAACGUAGACAUUCUCCCUAACUUUCAUGAUUUUUAAGUUUUAAUAAACCCCUUUUUUGUUACUUCCCCUACUUUCGUCUUCUGUCUCCCAUUUAUUUCAACUAUAAUUACGUAGCCGUCCGAUCCAACUCCAACUUUUCAAGAUAUUAUUCUACGAUGGCUGCUAGGACAGACAGGCCGAAGAUAGUCAGGAAGUAUCCAUUUUAUGCUCCCACAGUUGCUGUUCUCGGCGACUCCCAGACUAAGCACCUGUACCACCACUUUGAUUUCAGGUCCCGCUCGACACCAACGAUGUUCGUGUCCCGCAGCGGAGGACGUAUCCUGGACUUCAUCGAGGAGGUGGACCUACUACCGGCCAGCGUUCGUGUCGUUGUCCUACACUGUGGGACUAACGACAUGCCGUUCGUUGAGCCCAAGUUGGCCAUCUCGCACUACCAGACACUUCUCGAAAGGAUCCGUGCCCGUGGAGGCAUUGAAAUGGCGGCGUAGGGAGUUUCAGUGUAACCCACGGGCACACGCCUUCAACCGCCAGCUGGUCCAGCUAUGCAGGAGGUCCCGGGACCUUUUCUACCUCGACCAUGGCUUCUACCGACGACGUCCAACCCAGGUGCUUGCGGCGGAUGGCCUUCACCCAAACUUCGAAGGAGUGCGGAUGAUGAGCCGCCACCUCCAGGACCUGAUCGACAACCUGCUUCGACAACUUCCACCACGCAGAGCUGACGCCCCGGUCAUCCCGGAUCCAGUGUGGCCCACCCCACAAGAGGCAGCCAUGCUGCGACGAAGACACUCCGAACGGACAUCGAGGGCACGUAAACAGGACUGACUAACCGCCGCCAGAUCAAGGUCCCCACUGACCCACAAGGACGAUGACCCCACUCCUGGACCUGACACAGAAACGCUCUGGAAUUUCCCCAAUUGACAACCGCCAGGUGGCGGGAAUUUCCCCCAACCGAUCACGUCAUUCUCAAGCCCCUUAUCAGCCUCGUGGCCACAUUUAGCUCUUUUGUCCCGAAGAAGGCGGAGCUUCCGCCGUAACGUAGACAUUCUCCCUAACUUUCAUGAUUUUUAAGUUUUAAUAAACCCCUUUUUUGUUACUUCCCCUACUUUCGUCUUCUGUCUCCCAUUUAUUUCAACUAUAAUUACG